rnacentral:rRNA from 1 species
GACGAACGCUGGCGGCGUGCUUAACACAUGCAAGUCGAACGGAAAGGCCCUGCUUUUGUGGGGUGCUCGAGUGGCGAACGGGUGAGUAACACGUGAGUAACCUGCCCUUGACUUUGGGAUAACUUCAGGAAACUGGGGCUAAUACCGGAUAGGAGCUCUUGCUGCACGGUGGGGGUUGGAAAGUUUCGGCGGUUGGGGAUGGACUCGCGGCUUAUCAGCUUGUUGGUGGGGUAGUGGCUUACCAAGGCUUUGACGGGUAGCCGGCCUGAGAGGGUGACCGGCCACAUUGGGACUGAGAGACGGCCCAGACUCCUACGGGAGGCAGCAGUGGGGAAUAUUGCACAAUGGGCGGAAGCCUGAUGCAGCAACGCCGCGUGCGGGAUGACGGCCUUCGGGUUGUAAACCGCUUUCGCCUGUAACGAAGCGUGAGUGACGGUAAUGGGUAAAGAAGCACCGGCUAACUACGUG